rnacentral:rRNA from 1 species
UACGGAGGGUGCAAGCGUUGUCCGGAAUCACUGGGCGUAAAGGGCGCGUAGGCGGCUCGGUAAGUAGGGGGUGAAAUCCUGCGGCUUAACCGCAGGGCUGCCUUCUAAACUGUCGAGCUUGAGCACGGUAGAGGCAGAUGGAAUUCCCGGUGUAGCGGUGGAAUGCGUAGAGAUCGGGAAGAACAUCAGUGGCGAAGGCGGUCUGCUGGGCCGUUGCUGACGCUGGAGGCGCGAAAGCGUGGGGAGCGAACGGG